UUUUAAGAUAAGCUAAUUUUUUAAGCUUUUGGGCUCAUAACUCAAAUAUGAUUUUUCUCUUAAA
rnacentral:tRNA from 1 species